ACGGGAGUAGCUCAGUUGGUAGAGCACCGGUCUCCAAAACCGGGUGUCGGGAGUUCGAACCUCUCCUCCCGUGCUA
rnacentral:tRNA from 14 species